GACGAACGCUGGCGGCGUGCUUAACACAUGCAAGUCGAACGAUGAAGCUGGAGCUUGCUCCGGUGGAUUAGUGGCGAACGGGUGAGUAACACGUGAGCAAUCUGCCCUUGACUCUGGGAUAACUGCGGGAAACUGUAGCUAAUACCGGAUACGAGAACUGAAGGCAUCUUCGGGUCUGGAAAGAAUUUCGGUCAAGGAUGAGCUCGCGGCCUAUCAGCUUGUUGGUGAGGUAAUGGCUCACCAAGGCGACGGCGGGUAGCCGGCCUGAGGGGGUGACCGGCCACACUGGGACUGAGACACGGCCCAGACUCCUACGGGAGGCAGCAGUGGGGAAUAUUGCACAAUGGGCGAAAGCCUGAUGCAGCAACGCCGCGUGAGGGAUGAAGGCCUUCGGGUUGUAAACCUCUUUUAGCAGGGAAGAAGCGAAAGUGACGGUACCUGCAGAAAAAGCACCGGCUAACUACGUGCCAGCAGCCGCGGUAA
rnacentral:rRNA from 1 species